rnacentral:rRNA from 1 species
UACGACUACAUAUCAGGCAUAUCAAUAAGCGGAGGAAAAGAAACUAACAAGGAUUCCCCUAGUAACGGCGAGUGAAGCGGGAAGAGCUCAAAUUUGAAAUCUUAAAGGGUUUCCCUUUACGAAUUGUAGUUUAAAGAAGUGUUUUCUGUUGGAGUUUCGGUAAAAGUUCUUUGGAAUAGGACAUCAUAGAGGGUGAGAAUCCCGUAUUUGACCGUUACUUUCCAGCUGUGUGAUACACUUUCAAAGAGUCGGAUUGUUUGGGAAUGCAGUCCAAAAUGGGUGGUAAAUUUCAUCUAAAGCUAAAUAUUGGCGAGAGACCGAUAGCGAACAAGUACCGUGAGGGAAAGAUGAAAAGAACUUUGAAAAGAGAGUUAAACAGUACGUGAAAUUGUCAAAAGGGAAGCGUUUGACACCAGUGUUGUUUAGUUGAAGAUCAAUUAAAUAGUUUUCGAUUUUAAGUAGUAUUGACUUCAUCAGCUUGCUGCUUUCUUUCGGAAAUUAUUUAAUGCACUUUUCAGUUAACAAGUCAACAUCAAUUUCUUUUGUUGUAAAAAGGUAAGAGGAAGGUGGCUUGCGCUUCGGCUCAAGUGUUUAUAGCCUUUUACUUCUGCAAUCGGAGAGAUUGAGGUCUGCAGCGUAGAUCCUUCGGGGUUAGAUACAUUUGUGCUAAGUUAUAGCUUGUCAUAGACAACUUGUUGACUAUGUUUAGUCAUUGUAGCUUACUCGCUUACUGCUAUUUUACCUACGCUUAGGAUGUUGACGCGCGUGUGUGCGUG